rnacentral:rRNA from 1 species
GAGUUUGAUCCUGGCUCAGAUUGAACGCUGGCGGCAUGCCUUACACAUGCAAGUCGAACGGCAGCACGGGAGCUUGCUCCUGGUGGCGAGUGGCGAACGGGUGAGUAAUGCAUCGGAACGUAUCCUGGAGUGGGGGAUAACGUAGCGAAAGUUACGCUAAUACCGCAUAUUCUGUGAGCAGGAAAGCGGGGGACCUUCGGGCCUCGCGCUCUUGGAGCGGCCGAUGUCGGAUUAGCUAGUUGGUGAGGUAAAGGCUCACCAAGGCGACGAUCCGUAGCAGGUCUGAGAGGAUGAUCUGCCACACUGGAACUGAGACACGGUCCAGACCCCUACGGGAGGCAGCAGUGGGGAAUUUUGGACAAUGGGGGCAACCCUGAUCCAGCCAUGCCGCGUGAGUGAAGAAGGCCUCGGUUGUAAG